GGAACCGUGCCUGAAGUUUUUAAGGACCACUUUGAUAGAGUGGCUUAUGGGGGUUAGAGUCCCCCCAGUUCCU
rnacentral:tRNA from 3 species